rnacentral:lncRNA from 10 species
CUGACUGGGUUCCAAGGUCAGGUGGAGCUGCCAGCUGGGCUCUGCAAUCACCUUUGAUUGGGCAGGGUUGCAGGCUGUAUUCCCUGGCUGAGUGCUACUGCUGUUUAGAAUCUAAUUGGGCAGGGUUGCGGGCUGGGCUUCAGUGUUUCUGGGUUUGCUGCCCAGCCACUCGUGACAGGCAGGGCUGGAGAUUCCUCCACAGUAUGCAGUCACAGGUUUGC